CCUACGGGAGGCAGCAGUGAGGAAUAUUGGUCAAUGGCCGAGAGGCUGAACCAGCCAAGUCGCGUGAGGGAUGACGGCCCUACGGGUUGUAAACCUCUUUUGUCGGGGAGCAAAGUCCGGGACGCGUCCCGGUUUGAGUGUACCCGGAGAAAAAGCAUCGGCUAACUCCGUGCCAGCAGCCGCGGUAAUACGGAGGAUGCGAGCGUUAUCCGGAUUUAUUGGGUUUAAAGGGUGCGUAGGCGGGAUAUCAAGUCAGCGGUAAAAUCGCGGGGCUCAACCCCGGCCGGCCGUUGAAACUGGUGGUCUUGAGUGGGCGAGAAGUAUGCGGAAUGCGUGGUGUAGCGGUGAAAUGCAUAGAUAUCACGAAGAACUCCGAUUGCGAAGGCAGCAUACCGGCGCCCGACUGACGCUGAAGCACGAAAGCGUGGGUAUCGAACAGGAUUAGAUACCCUAGUAGUC
rnacentral:rRNA from 1 species